rnacentral:rRNA from 1 species
UACAGAGGUUGCAAGCGUUGUUCGGAAUUACUGGGCGUAAAGGGCGCGUAGGCGGCCUUUCAAGUCAGACGUGAAAUCCCCCGGCUUAACCUGGGAACUGCGUCUGAUACUGGGAGGCUCGAGUAUGGGAGAGGGAUGUAGAAUUCCAGGUGUAGCGGUGAAAUGCGUAGAUAUCUGGAGGAAUACCGGUGGCGAAGGCGGCAUCCUGGACCAUAACUGACGCUGAGACGCGAAAGCUAGGGGAGCAAACGUG